UACGUAGGGGGCAAGCGUUGUCCGGAUUUAUUGGGCGUAAAGAGCGUGUAGGCGGCCAUACAGGUCAGCUGUGAAAACUCGAGGCUCAACCUCGAGACGUCGGUUGAAACCGUAUGGCUAGAGUCCGGAAGAGGAGAGUGGAAUUCCCGGUGUAGCGGUGAAAUGCGCAGAUAUCAGGAGGAACACCGAUGGCGAAGGCAGAUCUCUGGGCCGUAACUGACGCUGAGGAGCGAAAGCGUGGGGAGCGAACAGG
rnacentral:rRNA from 1 species